rnacentral:lncRNA from 1 species
GGAUAUAAAAGGGCAGCCUUUAGUUUUGCCUACAACCUCACCAUUAUUUGGUCUAUCAAGUCUUUUUCAUCUUGUUUAAUGGUAGUCAAAUCUUCAGAAACCUGGCUUUUUAUAUCUAAACUAAUAUAAAAAUGAUAAUGGUAAGAAAUCUAAUUUAGUUAUCUUUUUUUUUUCUGGAAAAGGAAACCAUCAACAACAACAACACACACACACACACACACACACACACACACACACACCACAUGAUUGCUUGCUUGCUUAGGGAGGAAUCAGAGCUUCAAAAGUGAGCUGAUUCCAGCCACCAGCUGUCAUCAUAUGAGGAGCUCUUGUGAGUUGAUCGCCCAUGAAAGAGGAAUGAGCCUCUAAACAUGGCCACAGCUCAGUGAUACUGACCAACCAGACAUACCUUUGCUGGACCUAUGCAAACAUGAAACAGGUAAAGAGAACUUUUUUUAGCCUUUUCACAUUCAGUUAAGAUUUCAUGAAGAGUUGUAAGAGAAAAGCUUUUCCAGACCCAGCCAUGAGUACUCUGCUUUACUCAGAAGAACCACAAACUUUGAACAGCUUGAUAAUCCAGCAUUUCUGAAACUUUUCUUUGCAUGUGUGUCACUGAGGUAUCUUAUUAAAGCACAUAUUCUAAUUCUUUGGUCUGAGAUGGGGACUAAGAUUCUGCAUUUCUAACAACUUCCAAGUGAUGCUAAUGUGUUCCUGAUGCUGGGACCCUAUUUUAAGUAGCAAAGGUCUUGUUGGAAUCAACCCAACCAAUGGAAGGCAAACAAUCACAAUUCUUGACUGUGAGUUUUGGACAAUGAUUGUCUAUGUUCAGAUGGAAUUUUAUGAAGCUAAACGUUACCUUUGGCCUGUAUAGUGAGUAUACUACAACUCAAGUGGAGGGGUGUGUGUUCAUAUUUUCUCUCAAAAACAAAGCUGAAAAGCCAAUGGGCACAUGGGCAGCAAGGAGAAGGAUGCUAGAAUAAAAUCUUAUUGCAAAAAGGUGGAGAUCAAUAAUCUGCAGCUAUUUCUUUUUCUUUCUUUCUUUUUUUUUUCUGAGACAAGGUUUCACUCUGUCACCUAGCCUGGAGUGCACUGGCGCAAUCAUCACUCACCACAGCCUCGAACUCCUGGGCUCAAGUGAUCCUCUUACCUCACCCUCCCAAGUAUCUGGACUACAGGCUUCAUGAAAUACUUUAGCCAGACAGGUCAGGGUUUAAAGGUGCGCCACUACAGGCAAGCACCACUAUACCCAGCUAAUUUUUAAAAUUUUUUUUAAAGAGACACAGGUCUCACUUUGUGCCCAGGCUGGUCUCAAACUCCUGGCCUCAAGCAAUCCUCCUACCUCGGCCUCCCAAAGUGCUGGGAUUACAGGCAUGAGCCAUGGCCCCUAGCCCUAUUUCUAAUGUAUGAAUAACCUGUUCUCAAGUUAUCUUAAGAAAUAAAGUAUUUCUUUUUUGAAAUAAAUAAAAAGUAGCUAUAC